AUGCAGCUGAACUUGUGGAUGUUUUAACAAAAAACUGGACAUUUCGUGCUUUGUAAAGGCAGAAUAUGUGGCAUUUAACUGUGAAGCUGCAUCUAAUAAUUAUCACAUCGUUCGGCAUUGUCAGAGCACCUGGAAGCUGUGUGCUGCUCUGGUCUGAUUGCAUUACUGCGAGAUGAUGUGGUUUAAUCCAAGCUGCACAGGGAACAGCGGACCAAAACAGAACGUGGCUCAUCAGAAAAUCAGCUGCUUUGGCUGGAGGAAGUCUCCAACAUGAAUGCUCUCAACCCCCUCAUUGAGAGAAGGACACUGAUGCACAUGCUCUCUGAGCCAGGAGACCAUUUCGGCAUAUCUGUCUGAUACUUCUCCUGCACUGAUCACAUCAGAGAUGCAAAGGAAGCCCUGACAAAAGAGAUGGAAAAGACUGAGCCAUCUGAUACUGAGACCACCACAGAAAGCCCCAGGAAAAGUCCACGAAUGGAGGCAGCCGCAGAACCCGAGACUCGCAACAGUAAUCAGAGUGGGCUGAAGGGAUAUGGUUAUGGUUAUGGUCCUUGUGAAAAAACUAUUUGCAAGUUGUUAUUGCACUUUUUCAUACUUGAAUUAUUACAAUUCUCAAUUUUUUUUGUUAGAGUAGACACUCUUAUAUGUUGAUUUGAAACACUUGAUAUAAAGUUGAAGAAAAUAGUAUUAUACGUGAUAUUAAUGUUGCACAAACGUUAACUUUUUUAUUUUUAUAAAGUUACUGUCAAGUUGUUUAUGACAGAAUAAACAACAUUCAUUCAAAUAA